rnacentral:rRNA from 1 species
CCCUUAGAUGUUCUGGGCCGCACGCGCGCUACACUGACGAAUGCAACGAGCUUAUAACCUUGGCCGAAAGGUCUGGGUAAUCUCCAAAUUUCGUCGUGAUGGGGAUAGAUUAUUGCAAUUAUUAAUCUUCAACGAGGAAUGCCUAGUAAGCGCAAGUCAUCAGCUUGCGUUGAUUACGUCCCUGCCCUUUGUACACACCGCCCGUCGCUCCUACCGAUUGAAUGGUCCGGUGAAGCGCUCGGACCGCGGCCUCUUGACGGUUCGCUGUCGAUUGGCCGUGGGAAGUUCGUUAAACCUUAUCAUUUAGAGGAAGGAGAAGUCGUANCA